rnacentral:rRNA from 1 species
GACGAACGCUGGCGGCGUGCUUAACACAUGCAAGUCGAACGGAAAGGCCCUGCUUUUGUGGGGUGCUCGAGUGGCGAACGGGUGAGUAACACGUGAGUAACCUGCCCUUGACUUUGGGAUAACUUCAGGAAACUGGGGCUAAUACCGGAUAGGAGCUCCUGCUGCAUGGUGGGGGUUGGAAAGUUUCGGCGGUUGGGGAUGGACUCGCGGCUUAUCAGCUUGUUGGUGGGGUAGUGGCUUACCAAGGCUUUGACGGGUAGCCGGCCUGAGAGGGCGACCGGCCACAUUGGGACUGAGAUACGGCCCAGACUCCUACGGGAGGCAGCAGUGGGGAAUAUUGCACAAUGGGCGGAAGCCUGAUGCAGCAACGCCGCGUGCGGGAUGACGGCCUUCGGGUUGUAAACCGCUUUCGCCUGUGACGAAGCGUGAGUGACGGUAAUGGGUAAAGAAGCACCGGCCAACUACGUG